AUUGAACGCUGGCGGCAUGCCUUACACAUGCAAGUCGAACGGCAGCACGGGGCAACCUGGUGGCGAGUGGCGAACGGGUGAGUAAUGCAUCGGAACGUGCCAUUGAGUGGGGGAUAACGUAGCGAAAGUUGCGCUAAUACCGCAUAUUCUGUGAGCAGGAAAGCAGGGGACCGCAAGGCCUUGCGCUCUUUGAGCGGCCGAUGUCAGAUUAGCUAGUUGGUGAGGUAACGGCUUACCAAGGCGACGAUCUGUAGCGGGUCUGAGAGGAUGAUCCGCCACACUGGAACUGAGACACGGUCCAGACUCCUACGGGAGGCGGCAGUGGGGAAUUUUGGACAAUGGGCGCAAGCCUGAUCCAGCCAUGCCGCGUGAGUGAAGAAGGCCUUCGGGUUGUAAAG
rnacentral:rRNA from 1 species